GCGGGCGUGGCGGAAUGGCAGACGCGCCGGAUUUAGGAUCCGGUGGGAAACCGUGCAGGUUCGACCCCUGUCGCCCGCACCA
rnacentral:tRNA from 1 species